UACGUAGGGUGCAAGCGUUAAUCGGAAUUACUGGGCGUAAAGGGCGCGUAGGCGGUCAUGCAAGUGGGGUGUGAAAUCCCUGGGCUUAACCCGGGAACUGCAUUCCAGACUGUAUGGCUGGAGUACUGUAGAGGGCAGUGGAAUUUCCGGUGUAGCGGUGAAAUGCGUAGAGAUCGGAAGGAACACCAGUGGCGAAGGCGGCUGUCUGGACAGAUACUGACGCUGAGGCGCGAAAGCGUGGGGAGCAAACAGG
rnacentral:rRNA from 1 species